rnacentral:rRNA from 1 species
ACGGAAGGCAGCAGUGGGGAAUAUUGCACAAUGGGGGAAACCCUGAUGCAGCGACGCCGCGUGAGUGAAGAAGUAUUUCGGUAUGUAAAGCUCUAUCAGCAGGAAAGAAAAUGACGGUACCUGACUAAGAAGCCCCGGCUAACUACGUGCCAGCAGCCGCGGCAAUACGUAGGGGGCAAGCGUUAUCCGGAUUUACUGGGUGUAAAGGGAGCGUAGACGGCUUUGCAAGUCUGAAGUGAAAGCCCGGGGCUCAACCCCGGAACUGCUUUGGAAACUGUAGAGCUAGAGUGCAGGAGAGGUAAGUGGAAUUCCUAGUGUAGCGGUGAAAUGCGUAGAUAUUAGGAGGAACACCAGUGGCGAAGGCGGCUUACUGGACUGUAACUGACGUUGAGGCUCGAAGGCGUGGGGAGCAAACAGGAUUAGAUACCCUGGUA